GACGAACGCUGGCGGCGUGCCUAAUACAUGCAAGUAGAACGCUGAAGAGAGGAGCUUGCUCUUCUUGGAUGAGUUGCGAACGGGUGAGUAACGCGUAGGUAACCUGCCUUGUAGCGGGGGAUAACUAUUGGAAACGAUAGCUAAUACCGCAUAACAAUGGAUGACACAUGUCAUUUAUUUGAAAGGGGCAAUUGCUCCACUACAAGAUGGACCUGCGUUGUAUUAGCUAGUAGGUGAGGUAACGGCUCACCUAGGCGACGAUACAUAGCCGACCUGAGAGGGUGAUCGGCCACACUGGGACUGAGACACGGCCCAGACUCCUACGGGAGGCAGCAGUAGGGAAUCUUCGGCAAUGGGGGCAACCCUGACCGAGCAACGCCGCGUGAGUGAAGAAGGUUUUCGGAUCGUAAAGCUCUGUUGUAAGUCAAGAACGAGUGUGAGAGUGGAAAGUUCACACUGUGACGGUAGCUUACCAGAAAGGGACGGCUAACUACGUGCCAGCAGCCGCGGUAAUACGUAGGUCCCGAGCGUUGUCCGGAUUUAUUGGGCGUAAAGCGAGCGCAGGCGGUUUGAUAAGUCUGAAGUUAAAGGCUGUGGCUCAACCAUAGUUCGCUUUGGAAACUGUCAAACUUGAGUGCAGAAGGGGAGAGUGGAAUUCCAUGUGUAGCGGUGAAAUGCGUAGAUAUAUGGAGGAACACCGGUGGCGAAAGCGGCUCUCUGGUCUGUAACUGACGCUGAGGCUCGAAAGCGUGGGGAGCGAACAGGAUUAGAUACCCUGGUAGUCCACGCCGUAAACGAUGAGUGCUAGGUGUUGGAUCCUUUCCGGGAUUCAGUGCCGCAGCUAACGCAUUAAGCACUCCGCCUGGGGAGUACGACCGCAAGGUUGAAACUCAAAGGAAUUGACGGGGGCCCGCACAAGCGGUGGAGCAUGUGGUCUAAUUCGAAGCAACGCGAAGAACCUUACCAGGUCUUGACAUCCCGAUGCUAUUUCUAGAGAUAGAAAGUUACUUCGGUACAUCGGUGACAGGUGGUGCAUGGUUGUCGUCAGCUCGUGUCGUGAGAUGUUGGGUUAAGUCCCGCAACGAGCGCAACCCCUAUUGUUAGUUGCCAUCAUUCAGUUGGGCACUCUAGCGAGACUGCCGGUAAUAAACCGGAGGAAGGUGGGGAUGACGUCAAAUCAUCAUGCCCCUUAUGACCUGGGCUACACACGUGCUACAAUGGUUGGUACAACGAGUUGCGAGUCGGUGACGGCAAGCUAAUCUCUUAAAGCCAAUCUCAGUUCGGAUUGUAGGCUGCAACUCGCCUACAUGAAGUCGGAAUCGCUAGUAAUCGCGGAUCAGCACGCCGCGGUGAAUACGUUCCCGGGCCU
rnacentral:rRNA from 1 species